rnacentral:rRNA from 1 species
GUCCACGCCGUAAACUAUGAGAACUAGGUGUUUGGGAUGACCAAGCGCCGAAGCUAACGCAUUAAGUUCUCCGCCUGGGGAGUACGGUCGCAAGACUGAAACUUAAAGGAAUUGACGGGAGCCCGCACAAGCAGUGGAGCAUGUGGUUUAAUUCGAGGCUACGCGAAGAACCUUACCAGGGCUUGACAUACCGAUUAACACUCUAGAGAUAGAGGAAUAUACGUCGGAUACAGGUGGUGCAUGGUCGUCGU